GCCAGGGAUCUGCUGAGUAACAGGCCAGGACGCUGCGAAAACCUCCAGCCUUUGGGGUCGCCUGAAAAACCCGGCUCCCCGUCAGUCAAUCACUGCAACUCAAUUAAUGUAUCUGGGUCAUAAAAAUGGUUUACGGGAGCCAGAGCCGGGUUACGAAACGCAGCGCGGCGGAUCUACCGGGCGGCGGUGGAGGUCAGCACCCGGUGCGCACAGAUGGGUGAUGCAUGGGGAUGUUAUCUGAACCUGGGACCAGGAGACAAAGAACCUGAUAUGUCAUGGCCUUCCACUCCCGCAGCUGAUAUGUGUGAUGCUCCCCCAGUCUGCACUGCUGCCAACAAAAGCAACACUUGAAUUUUGGCUGAUAAUUCAACUGGAAGAAUUUCAAAGCAGUUUACAGAUUAGCAGAAGAACAACUCGAACAUGAAUAGUAACAGAGACUAAGCAAGACAACAGAAGGAGAAAAUGCAAGAUCUCUGUAAGAAAACACUGUGCAUCUCACUGGCAAUCAGCCAAGUCCCUUAAGUACACCAGUCUGCCCCUUACCUCUGCAGCCACCACACCCACAAAACACAAGCUUCAGGAAAGUGAAACAAGAUGUUGUCCUGGUUUUGUUAAAAACAAGUUUCUCUUUCAGUGAAUUUUGCCUGUCAGCUAAAGCCUUCAUAUUAACUGCAUUUUCCUGGAGAACCAGACACAUGUUUUGGUAAACCCAGCAAUGGAAUGCAAACUUAUUGAUAAGCAUGGAUGGACAUCUCGUGAGAGGGGCGACGAGAAGCAAGUGACCAAGAAACUGACCAACUGUGUAUAACAUUCCAUUCACGUGAAUGCUUCAUAUAAAAGUGCGAGAUCACGAGGAUCUCGUCCCUUUUUCCCUUCUGCUUAUGGCCAACAUUAGGAGAGGACCUUGCUAGUCGUCCCUGCAAACUGAGGCCUAGUGAGAGACUGAAUCCAGCUCCUGUUGGCUGCAGAGUCUAAUCCAGGACUUUGGUUGCCGGCUCUGCAGUUGCUGAGACUUUCAAGAUUGGUUUUGUAUAUUUUGUAUUAUUUUCUCUAUUCUUAUUAGUAGCAUUAGUAAAACAUCUUUAAUUUUUUCCAACUCUCUCCUCUCUGUCCUUCUUUUCCUCCCAAUCGCCUCUCCUUAGUGGAAAGGGGGGAGAGGGAGGGGUGGAAAGGGGGGAGAGGGAGGGGCAAAAAGGGGGAAGCGGGGGGGGAAGAGGGGGUUAACAAUACAUCUGCCAGGGUUUUAUUGUCACCCCGCAAUCUUAACCCUCGACAGAUGUGAAGUGGGCAGACCAUUUACAUCCCCUCUUUUCGAGCUGUGCUUGGAAGUGGAGCUUUCUGUGAACUCAUCUUACAUUGCAAAUCAUCAAAGCAUUUUGUCAUUCUUUUCUGGUGCCUCCUCGUUACGCAUUUGUAAUGCCUCAUAUGUAUUUUGAGACCUGCCUACUGUAUUUAUUCUUUUAUGCCUGUAUUUUUUGCUUACAUCAUCCUUAUCCUUGAUAAUUUCUAACUCCAGCACUCAUUUCACCAUUAGAUGAUAUGGAUCAUGUCCCCAUGACUCCCUGGCCAAAAGUAUUCAGAUGCAACAGUUCCUGAGAAAUUUUUUUAUAGAGAUGGCCUAUCCUGCAUGGGAGGUAAGGAAGGAGGAAAGAUAAUACAAUCCAUUUCCUCUUCUGUUGCUUUUACAACUUGUUGAUCAUCUUAAAGAUAAGUGAUUUUUUUUCCCCCUUUAAGUAAGUUGGCAAAUGUCCAGAAAAUAAGAUGCAUUGAUCAUAAAUCUGGAGAUGCUAGAGACAUGAGAGACUUAGUGGUCCCUAAGAUUAUCUCUCGAGGCAGUGUUCCUAAAAAUCCAUUAUUCUUUCCAGGUCUCUGUCAUAGCUAGUGAAUCUUCUACUCUAUCUUUAAAAAGCUUGGUGAUAUUUCCUUUACUUUCCUUUCUAGAUGUAAAAGAAACAAUAGGAGACCCAGGCUGUUUUCAGCUCAUGCCUAAUAAGGGAAAAAUUAGAAGGCUCCAGAGGUGUCACCAGAGCAGUUUUCUCUCAGCUCUGAUCAGUAAGAAUGAGCAAAGAAGAUACAGCUUUGCCAUAGCCUGCUGGGUCCAUUGUUUUUCUUUGUUAGCAAACUACAAUAUCUGUGUUCAUAGCACAAGAAUGCAGCCAACAAAUCCUAGACAUACCAUAUAUUUCAUGUGUUUAGCAACCCAUAAAAGUUGAGAGUAGCAUCUGAUUUAUCUAGGCAUAUGGCUCCAGCUGUUCUGAGGAACAUAUAUUUUUAAUCAAAGGUGAUGUUCCCUAAAUUAAGUCUUUCUUUGAAUCUCCUUGCUCAGGGAUAUAUUUACAGCACUAUUUGUAAAAUACUAUCUACUUUGUUAAAAUGUUUCGAAUGCUUUGUUAAUGCAGUGUGGUGGGACUUUCCUGUAAUCAUUGUUUCUUCCCAAAGGAAACUAACUGGAUGAUUAGUAAUUGCUGGAUUAUCAAACAGUGCACAAGCUCAUUUUCUGGUCUAAGCAAGUUAUUAGAGUUUCAUAAAUGCACAGCCACAUACAUUAUUCUACUAUAUUAACCUAUUACUAAAGAGACCAUGGAGGAGAGGACAAAUGAUUGAUAGAGGAACAGAGCAAUGUUUACGUUCUUAAGUGAUGUGGCAUUUUACUUGCUUGCUGCGUAUGGUGUUGCUUCUUUCAGGUGUGAAUGCAACAGGUGCUCCAUCUCCUCCUCCCUUCCCCCACUCCUGUGUCCGACAACAUACUGAUACAAGGAUAAUGACAAGUGAGGAUGUUAUACAAAUACUUGAAGUUCAGCUCGGCCUGGUUUUAAAUAGUGAGUUCAACCUUUACUUAUCUGUGACCAUCCAGCAUAGUGGUUUAAUGGUGCCCUCCCGCUCACUCUCCUGCCAGCUUUCUUUUUGUCCCUGAAGCUUAAAUCCUGAUAUAACACAGAGAUGAAAAAUCUGCAAGCUGGUCUCCAUUGGAAAAAAAAGUCUAUUGGUCUUCACAGGCCUCCAUAAAUCACUAGAUGACCUUCUUUCUUCUAGAAAGGAAAUCGAAGAAGGAGCAUGACAAAUGCAUAUUUUUGACUGGUUCAUGUCUAAUUUUAACUACCAGGUGAAUGUAUUGGAAAGACCAGGCAAAGGUUUCUUAGAGGUAUUUUUUUUUUUCCAGUUGAAAAUGCUAGUUUGACAAAACUGAUGUUUUUUACUGGUCCAUAUGGCUUUCAUUAAAAUAUUUGCAGAUGA